GACGGAGGAUGCAAGUGUUAUCCGGAAUCACUGGGCGUAAAGCGUCUGUAGGUGGUUCAAUAAGUCAACUGUUAAAUCUUGAGGCUCAACUUCAAAAUCGCAGUCGAAACUAUUGGACUCGAGUAUAGUAGGGGUAAAGGGAAUUUCCAGUGGAGCGGUGAAAUGCGUAGAGAUUGGAAAGAACACCAAUGGCGAAAGCACUUUACUGGGCUAUUACUGACACUGAGAGACGAAAGCUAGGUAGCAAAUGGG
rnacentral:rRNA from 1 species